rnacentral:rRNA from 1 species
UACGUAGGGGGCGAGCGUUGUCCGGAUUUAUUGGGCGUAAAGAGCUCGUAGGCGGUUCAACAAGUCGGUCGUGAAAGUUCAGGGCUCAACCCUGAAAUGUCGAUCGAUACUGUUGUGACUAGGAUACGGUAGAGGUGAGUGGAAUUCCGAGUGUAGCGGUGAAAUGCGUAGAUAUUCGGAGGAACACCAAUUGCGAAGGCAGCUCACUGGGCCGCUAUCGACGCUGAGGAGCGAAAGCUAGGGGAGCAAACAGGAUUAGAUACCCUGGUAGUCCUAGCUGUAAACGAUGGAUACUAGACGUAGGAACUGGAUUGACGGUUUCUGUGUCGUAGCUAACGCGUUAAGUAUCCCGCCUGGGGAGUACGGUCGCAAGACUAAAACUCAAAGGAAUUGACGGGACCCCGCACAAGCGGCGGAGCAUGCGGCUUAAUUCGAUGAUACCCGUAGAACCUUACCUGGACUUGACAUAUAGGGUCUAGCUAUAGAGAUAUAGUGUGCAUUAGCGCCCUAUACAGGUGGUGCAUGGCUGUCGUCAGCUCGUGUCGUGAGAUGUUGGGUUAAGUCCCGCAACGAGCGCAACCCCUGUCCUAUGUUGCCAGCAUUUAGUUGGGGACUCAUAGGAGACUGCCGGUGAUAAACCGGAGGAGGGUGGGGACGACGUCAAGUCAUCAUGCCCCUUAUGUCCAGGGCUGCACGCAUGCUACAAUGGCAAGUACAACGAGUCGCAAUACCGCGAGGUGGAGCAAAUCUCUUAAAGCUUGUCUCAGUUCGGAUAGGAGUCUGCAACUCGACUCCUUGAAGUUGGAGUCGCUAGUAAUCGCAAAUCAGCAAAGUUGCGGUGAAUACGUUCUCGGGGUU